rnacentral:snRNA from 1 species
AUGGCUUCUCAGCUUUUGGCUAAAAUCACAUGUAGCAUAUGUUAUCAGUUUAAUAUCUAGUGUGUCCUCUAUCUAACAACAAUAAAGUCAAUGGAUUUUUAUUUAAACAGGGAGAAAGAUUAAGAGCCUUCUCCACCUACCCCAUGCAUCCACCUGGUACUCGAAUGCCUCCCACAGUGCACCUCAU